GAUGAACGCUGGCGGCGUGCCUAACACAUGCAAGUCGUACGAGCUCGAUCUUCGGAACGGGUUAGUGGCGCACGGGUGAGUAACACGUAGGUGACCUACCCCAGAGUGGGGGAGUAACUUCUCGAAAGAGAGGCUAAUACCGCAUACACUCGGUCAUUCAUUUGGCCGAGCAAAGCUCUGGCGCUUUGGGACGGGCCUGCGUCCGAUUAGCUAGUUGGUAGGGUAAUGGCUUACCAAGGCUUUGAUCGGUAGCUGGUCUGAGGGGACGAUCAGCCACACUGGCACUGACACACGGGCCAGACUCCUACGGGAGGCAGCAGUGAGGAAUAUUGGGCAAUGGGCGAAAGCCUGACCCAGCAACGCCGCGUGAGGGAUGAAGGCCUUCGGUUGUAAACCUCUUUCUGGGAGAAGAGACAAGGACGGUAUCUCAGGAAUAAGUCUCGGCUAACUACGUGCCAGCAGCCGCGGUAAU
rnacentral:rRNA from 1 species